rnacentral:rRNA from 1 species
CAAUUUAAACAACGAAGAGUUUGAUCCUGGCUCAGGAUGAACGCUAGCGACAGGCUUAACACAUGCAAGUCGAGGGGCAGCACAGGUAGCAAUACCGGGUGGCGACCGGCGCACGGGUGAGUAACGCGUAUGCAACUUGCCUAUCAGAGGGGGAUAACCCGGCGAAAGUCGGACUAAUACCGCAUGAAGCAGGGAUCCCGCAUGGGAAUAUUUGCUAAAGAUUCAUCGCUGAUAGAUAGGCAUGCGUUCCAUUAGGCAGUUGGCGGGGUAACGGCCCACCAAACCGACGAUGGAUAGGGGUUCUGAGAGGAAGGUC